rnacentral:rRNA from 1 species
CCUACGGGAGGCAGCAGUGGGGAAUCUUGCGCAAUGGGCGAAAGCCUGACGCAGCAACGCCGCGUGCGGGAAGAAGGCUUUCGGGCUGUAAACCGCUUUCAGCAGGAACGAAAAUGACGGUACCUGCAGAAGAAGGAGCGGCCAACUAUGUGCCAGCAGCCGCGGUGAUACAUAGGCUUCAAGCGUUGUCCGGAUUUAUUGGGCGUAAAGAGUUCGUAGGCGGUCGAGUAAGUCGGGUGUGAAAAUUCUGGGCUCAACCCAGAGACGCCACCCGAUACUGCUUAACUUGAGUUCGAUAGGGGAGUGGGGAAUUCCUAGUGUAGCGGUGAAAUGCGCAGAUAUUAGGAGGAACACCGGUGGCGAAGGCGCCACUCUGGAUCGAUACUGACGCUGAGGAACGAAAGCAUGGGUAGCAAACAGGAUUAGAUACCCUGGUAGUCCAUGCCGUAAACGGUGGGCACUAGGUGUGGGAUUCUAUUAACGAAUUCCGCGCCGUCGCUAACGCAUUAAGUGCCCCGCCUGGGGAGUACGGUCGCAAGACUAAAACUUAAAUGAUAAGUAGNGUUGNGAGUUGCGAGNGACACGAGGGAGAG